GUGCCCCCUUCGGCAGCACACACACCAAAAUUGGGAUACAGAGAAGAUUAGCAUGGUCCCUGCACAGAGAUGACACGCAAAUUUGUAAAGCAUUCCAUUAAAAAAAAUUUU